UACGGAAGGUGCAAGCGUUGUUCGGAAUGACUGGGCGUAAAGCGCACGUAGGCGGCUUCGUAAGUCGGUGUGAAAUCCCCGGGCUCAACCCGGGAACAGCACCCGAAACUGCUUAGCUUGAAUGCUUGAGAGGUUGGUGGAAUUCCAGGUGUAGGAGUGGAAAUCCGUAGAUAUCUGGAGGAAUAUCGGAGGCGAAGGCGGCCAACUGGCGAUGCAUUGACGCUAAGGUGCGAAAGCGCGGGGAGCAAACAGG
rnacentral:rRNA from 1 species